UACAGGCUUAACACAUGCAAGUCGAGGCGUAGCAUUUUAGUUUGCUUGCAAACUAAAGAUGGCGACCGGCGCACGGGUGAGUAACACGUAUCCAACCUGCCGAUAACUCGGGGAUAGCCUUUCGAAAGAAAGAUUAAUAUCCGAUGGCAUAUCAGUCCCGCAUGAGAUUGAUAUUAAAGAAUUUCGGUCAUCGAUGGGGAUGCGUUCCAUUAGGUUGUUGGCGGGGUAACGGCCCACCAAACCGACGAUGGAUAGGGGUUCUGAGAGGAAGGUCCCCCACAUUGGUACUGAGACACGGACCAAACUCCUACGGGAGGCAGCAGUGAGGAAUAUUGGUCAAUGGCCGAGAGGCUGAACCAGCCAAGUCGCGUGAGGGAUGAAGGUUCUAUGGAUCGUAAACCUCUUUUAUAAGGGAAUAAAGUGCGGGACGUGUCCCGUUUUGUAUGUACUUUAUGAAUAAGGAUCGGCUAACUCCGUGCCAGCAGCCGCGGUAAUACGGAGGAUCCGAGCGUUAUCCGGAUUUAUUGGGUUUAAAGGGUGCGUAGGCGGCCUUUUAAGUCAGCGGUGAAAGUCUGUGGCUCAACCAUAGAAUUGCCGUUGAAACUGGGGGGCUUGAGUAUGUUUGAGGCAGGCGGAAUGCGUGGUGUAGCGGUGAAAUGCAUAGAUAUCACGCAGAACCCCGAUUGCGAAGGCAGCCUGCCAAGCCAUUACUGACGCUGAUGCACGAAAGCGUGGGGAUCAAACAGGAUUAGAUACCCUGGUAGUCCACGCAGUAAACGAUGAUCACUAGCUGUUUGCGAUACACUGUAAGCGGCACAGCGAAAGCGUUAAGUGAUCCACCUGGGGAGUACGCCGGCAACGGUGAAACUCAAAGGAAUUGACGGGGGCCCGCACAAGCGGAGGAACAUGUGGUUUAAUUCGAUGAUACGCGAGGAACCUUACCCGGGUUUGAACGCAUUCGGACCGAGGUGGAAACACCUUUUCUAGCAAUAGCCGUUUGCGAGGUGCUGCAUGGUUGUCGUCAGCUCGUGCCGUGAGGUGUCGGCUUAAGUGCCAUAACGAGCGCAACCCUUGCCACUAGUUACUAACAGGUAAAGCUGAGGACUCUGGUGGGACUGCCAGCGUAAGCUGCGAGGAAGGCGGGGAUGACGUCAAAUCAGCACGGCCCUUACAUCCGGGGCGACACACGUGUUACAAUGGCGUGGACAAAGGGAAGCCACCUGGCGACAGGGAGCGAAUCCCCAAACCACGUCUCAGUUCGGAUCGGAGUCUGCAACCCGACUCCGUGAAGCUGGAUUCGCUAGUAAUCGCGCAUCAGCCAUGGCGCGGUGAAUACGUUCCCGGGCCU
rnacentral:rRNA from 1 species